GUAGCCGGGCGUUUCGUCGCUCACCGAUGAACAAGCGGUGUGAGGAAAGUCCGGGCAACACAGAGCGCCACACUUCUUAACGGGAAGCUGUCGGAAACGGCAGAGUAAUGUGACAGAAAACAACCGCCGCUACAUGCGGUAAGGGUGAAAAGGCGGGGUAAGAGCCCACCGGGUUCCAUGGUGACAUGGAAUGCCGCACAUCUUUGGGUUGCAAGACCAUGUAUACCGGCAUUUAAGGGUUGCUCGCCCAUUGUCGGGGGGUAGGUCGCUACAGCUGUGCGGCAACGUACAGCGCAGAUAAAUGACGAAACGCAGCGUCAAGCCGCUUUAUGCGGAACUGUCGGCUGCGACAUAACCCGGCUUAUAGCCCGGCUCCCUUU
rnacentral:RNase_P_RNA from 1 species